UAUGGCCAGCCUGUGGCAGGUGGGGACACUCCAGCCCCUCGCCGGGCUGUGCUGGAAACCGUCAGAACUUACCUCACCAUCACUGACACUCAGUUGGUGAACAGUCUCCUGGAAAAAGCCAGCGAGAAGGUGCUCGACCCUGCCAGCCCUGACUUUACCAGAUUGUCUGUCCUGGACUUGGUCGUAGCCUUGGCUCCAUGUGCUGAUGAAGCCGCCAUCAGCAAGCUGUAUUCCACCAUCCGGCCCUA